UCUCCGUUGGUGAACCAGCGGAGGGAUCAUUACCGAGUUAUUCUCCUCGCAAACCCCUGUGAACUUAUACCUUUACUGUUGCUUCGGCGGGUUACCGCCCCGAAAGGCCCGCGAGGGUCGCCGGAAGCAGGCCCCCGCCGCGGGACCCAAACCCUUGUAUCUUUUUGAUAGUAUGUUUGAGUGGUAUCAUAAACACAUGCAUCAAAACUUUCAACAACGGAUCUCUUGGUUCUG
rnacentral:misc_RNA from 1 species